rnacentral:rRNA from 1 species
GACGAACGCUGGCGGCGUGCUUAACACAUGCAAGUCGAACGGAAAGGCCCUUCGGGGUACUCGAGUGGCGAACGGGUGAGUGACACGUGGGUGAUCUGCCCUGCACUUUGGGAUAAGCCUGGGAAACUGGGUCUAAUACCGAAUAGGACCACGCGCUUCAUGGUGUGUGGUGGAAAGCUUUUGCGGUGUGGGAUGGGCCCGCGGCCUAUCAGCUUGUUGGUGGGGUAAUGGCCUACCAAGGCGACGACGGGUAGCCGGCCUGAGAGGGUGACCGGCCACACUGGUACUGAGAUACGGCCCAGACUCCUACGGUAGGCAGCAGUGGGGAAUAUUGCACAAUGGGCGCAAGCCUGAUGCAGCGACGCCGCGUGAGGGAUGACGGCCUUCGGGUUGUAAACCUCUUUCAAUAGGGACGAAGCGCAAGUGGCGGUACCUAUAGAAGAAGCACCGGCCAACUACGUG